UCAAACUGGGAUUAGAUACCCCACUAUUUUUAGUUGUAAAUUUAGUUUAAGCUUACCAGAGUACUACGAAUAAAAAAGUUUAAAACUCAAAGGGCUUGGCGGUGUUUUAGACCUCUCAGGGGAACCUGUCUCGUAAUCGACAGUCCGCGUUAAACCUAACCUUUUAUAGCAAUACAGCUUGUAUACCGUCGUCGUCAGGUAACUUCUUAAAAUAUAGUAGUUAGCCCGAGAAUCAAGUUAAUUAGGACGUCAGAUCAAGGUGCAGCCAAUAAAGAGGUGAGGAUGGGUUACAAUUACAUAUUUGUAAAUACGGAAAAUAUUUGAAAUAUAGUAUCAUAAAGGAGGACUUGAAAGUAAUUUUAGUUAUAUGGAUAAAAUGAAUAUGGCUCUGAAACGUGCACACACCGCCCGUCACCCUCCUGCAGUCAA
rnacentral:rRNA from 1 species